GACGAACGCUGGCGGCGUGCCUAAUACAUGCAAGUCGAGCGCUUCUUUUCUACCGCGUGCUUGCACUCAUUGGAAAAGAGGAGUGGCGGACGGGUGAGUAACACGUGGGUAACCUGCCCAUCAGAAGGGGAUAACACUUGGAAACAGGUGCUAAUACCGUAUAACAGUCGACACCGCAUGGUGUUGAUUUGAAAGACGCUUUCGGGUGUCACUGAUGGAUGGACCCGCGGUGCAUUAGCUAGUUGGUGAGGUAACGGCUCACCAAGGCGAUGAUGCAUAGCCGACCUGAGAGGGUGAUCGGCCACACUGGGACUGAGACACGGACCAGACUCCUACGGGAGGCAGCAGUAGGGAAUCUUCGGCAAUGGACGAAAGUCUGACCGAGCAACGCCGCGUGAGUGAAGAAGGUUUUCGGAUCGUAAAGCUCUGUUGUUAGAGAAGAACAAGUAGGAGAGUAACUGCUCUUACCUUGACGGUAUCUAACCAGAAAGCCACGGCUAACUACGUGCCAGCAGCCGCCGUAA
rnacentral:rRNA from 1 species